rnacentral:rRNA from 1 species
UGGGGAAUAUUGCACAAUGGGCGCAAGCCUGAUGCAGCGACGCCGCGUGAGGGAUGACGGCCUUCGGGUUGUAAACCUCUUUCAACGCCGACGAAGCGUAAGUGACGGUAGGCGUAGAAGAAGCACCGGCCAACUACGUGCCAGCAGCCGCGGUAAUACGUAGGGUGCGAGCGUUGUCCGGAAUUACUGGGCGUAAAGAGCUCGUAGGUGGUUUGUCGCGUUGUCCGUGAAAACUCACAACUCAAUUGUGGGCGUGCGGGCGAUACGGGCAGACUGGAGUACUGCAGGGGGAGACUGGAAUUCCUGGUGUAGCGGUGGAAUGCGCAGAUAUCAGGAGGAACACCGGUGGCGAAGGCGGGUCUCUGGGCAGUAACUGACGCUGAGGAGCGAAAGCGUGGGAGCGAACAGGAUUAGAUACCCUGGUAGUCCACGCCGUAAACGGUGGGUACUAGGUGUGGGUUUCCUUCCUUGGGAUCCGUGCCGUAGCUAACGCAUUAAGUA